GACGAACCGAGCGAACGUUGUUCGGAAUCACUGGGCUUAAAGGGCGCGUAGGCGGGUGCUCAAGUCCGUGGUGAAAUCCUCCGGCUCAACCGGAGAACUGCCUCGGAUACUGGGUGCCUCGAGGGUGGUAGGGGUAUGCGGAACUAUCGGUGGAGCGGUGAAAUGCGCAGAUAUCGGGAGGAACACCGGUGGCGAAGGCGGUUCUCUGGCCUGACCUGACGCUGAGGAGCGAAGCGUGGGAGCGAACAGG
rnacentral:rRNA from 1 species